rnacentral:rRNA from 1 species
CCUACGGGAGGCUGCAGUGAGGAAUAUUGGUCAAUGGACGAGAGUCUGAACCAGCCAAGUAGCGUGAAGGAUGACUGCCCUAUGGGUUGUAAACUUCUUUUAUAAAGGAAUAAAACGAGGCACGUGUGCCUUUUUGCAUGUACUUUAUGAAUAAGGAUCGGCUAACUCCGUGCCAGCAGCCGCGGUAAUACGGAGGAUCCGAGCGUUAUCCGGAUUUAUUGGGUUUAAAGGGAGCGUAGAUGGGUUGUUAAGUCAGUUGUGAAAGUUUGCGGCUCAACCGUAAAAUUGCAAUUGAUACUGGCAGUCUUGAGUACAGUUGAGGUAAGCGGAAUUCGUGGUGUAGCGGUGAAAUGAUUAGAUAUCACGAAGAACCCCGAUUGCGAAGGCAGCUUACUAAACUGUGACUGACAUUGAUGCUCGAAAGUGUGGGUAGCAAACAGGAUUAGAUACCCUUGUAGUC